AGCAGGGGUCUCUGUGGACUCUGCUGUGAAUCCCUGUGAGGACUCCGCUCUGCAGGAACAGGACAAAGCUCAGAGCCCAGAGCAGCAGCCUGGACCUGGACCUGGACCUGAGUCCCCCUGUGUGUCCUCAAAGAGUGACCCCUCAAUGGAGCCUCAAUCUGCUGAUGGGGGGGUCCAGCAGCAGAGACCAGACUCUCCCUGCGGUCUGUCCUUCAAGAGCGACCGGUCAAAGGACGCCUUCAUAUACUUUAAAGGACGACCUCCAUCUUCUGAUCAGAGGUCAGCUGUGACUCACAGUGAGGGUCCGGUUAGGAUAGAAAUAAACUAGUUUAUAUAAAGUCUCGUCCGACCCCCCCUCACGUCCAAAGUGUUUAGUUGUGAGCGUCCACUCUGGGAGGGGCAGUGGAAAUCCAUCUGAAACCCAGGCUGUUCAGAAGCUGUUCCACCGUCUCACACACACUUCUGAUGGAGGACACUGAGCCUUCAUCAACGUCACACCCAGGGCCCUUUCUUUUGGUUUGACUUCUGACGUCUCAUGAGGGCGCAAUAAGGA